GCUCACUUUGACAGAGCAUAUGCUCAAAGUAGAAUGAUAGUGAAGAGAUUGACAUGGGUCCUGCGAAAGGAUAGCAUGCCAAUUUGUGAAUUAUUUCAUACUUUU
ensembl:snRNA U6 U6 spliceosomal RNA